rnacentral:rRNA from 1 species
UACGGGGGGGGCAAGCGUUGUUCGGAAUUACUGGGCGUAAAGGGCUUGUAGGCGGCCAACUAAGUCCGACGUGAAAUCCCCAGGCUUAACCUGGGAACUGCGUCGGAUACUGGAUGGCUUGAAUUCGGGAGAGGGAUGCAGAAUUCCAGGUGUAGCGGUGAAAUGCGCAGAUAUCAGGAGGAACACCCGUAGCGAAGGCGGCACUCUGGGCCGGAACUGACGCUGAGGAGCGAAAGCGUGGGGAGCGAACAGG